rnacentral:rRNA from 1 species
AGUUCGGUCCCUAUCCGUCGUGGGCGUAGGAAAUUUGAGAGGAGCUGUCCUUAGUACGAGAGGACCGGGAUGGACAUACCUCUGGUGUACCAGUUGUCGUGCCAACGGCAUAGCUGGGUAGCUAUGUAUGGACGGGAUAAGUGCUGAAAGCAUCUAAGCAUGAAGCCCCCCUCAAGAUGAGAUUUCCCAACUUCGGUUAUAAGAUCCCUCGAAGAUGACGAGGUUAAUAGGUUCGAGGUGGAAGCGUGGUGACACGUGGAGCUGACGAAUACUAAUCGAUCGAAGACUUAAUCAA